UACGUAGGGGGCAAGCGUUGUCCGGAAUCAUUGGGCGUAAAGCGCGUGUAGGCGGCCCGGUAAGUCCGCUGUGAAAGUCGGGGGCUCAACCCUCGAAUGCCGGUGGAUACUGUCGGGCUAGAGUGCGGAAGAGGAGAGUGGAAUUCCUGGUGUAGCGGUGAAAUGCGCAGAUAUCAGGAAGAACACCAAUGGCGAAAGCAGCUCUCUGGGACGGUACUGACGCUGAGGAGCGAAAGCGUGGGGAGCGAACAGG
rnacentral:rRNA from 1 species